CAAUAGCGUAUAUUAAAGUUGUUGCAGUUAAAAAGCUCGUAGUUGAAGAUACGAACGCUUACACUAGAACAAAGUUUCCGGUGUCUGCGUUCACUUUUCGCAAAGACAGCCUGGCCCAUUAGUUUGGGUCUUGUUUGAGUUGCGUCAUUUACUGUGAACAAAUUAGGGUGUUUAAAGCAGGCCUACGUUUGAAUACACUAGCAUGGAAUAAUAAGAUAUGAUCUUGGUCGUAUUUUGUUGGUGACUACCAAGAUAAUGAUUGAUAGAAACUGUUGUGGGUAUUCGUAUGAGCAUGUCAGAGGUGAAAUUCUUGGAUUUUGAUCAGACGAACUACUGCGAAAGGAUUUACCAAGGAUGUUUUCAUUAA
rnacentral:rRNA from 1 species